rnacentral:rRNA from 1 species
GGUUGAUCCUGCCAGUAGUCAUAUGCUUGUCCUAAAGAUUAAGCCAUGCAUGUGUACGUUCAAGCCCUUGUACGGUGAAACUGCGGAUGGCUCAUUAUAUCAGUGAUAAUUUGGUUGGUGGAGAAUACUGUGGAUAACCGUGGUAAUUCUAGAGCUAAUACAUGCAGAUCAGACGGGAGUCUGGCAUUUAUUAGAUAAAGCCUUGGCACAGAGGGGUUUACUCUCUUCUGUGCGCAGGUGAGUAAUGAUAACUGGGCGGAUCGCAGAAUACUGCGACGCACCAAGGAAAUUU